rnacentral:tmRNA from 1 species
GGGGAUGAUCGGUUUCGACAUUGUUUGCGCAAUUGUGAGAAGCGGGUCGAGGAUGCAGGGUUAUCUCGUAAACGAUCUCUGCAAAAACAAUAAGUGCCAAAUCAAACCGCACUGACUUCGCUCUCGCUGCCUAAGCGAAAGCACUAAAGAAGUCCGCCAGACCGGGAAUGCUCUCUACCCGGAUCCUGACGCCAUUUAGAGAGCUUGCUUCUACAUUGAGCCACGGGGCGUAGAGGGACUUAAACGAAGGCUGGGCCUGUCGGAGUAGAUGCCAGUGGCAAAUUCCGGGGCCGAGAAAGCGAUUUCACUGGAUACACCCGUAGAAGGCAUAUGACCACAGCAAUGGACCGGGGUUCAAUUCCCCGCAUCUCCACCA